rnacentral:rRNA from 1 species
UACGAAGGGAGCUAGCGUUGUUCGGAAUCACUGGGCGUAAAGCGCACGUAGGCGGAUGUGUCAGUCAGGGGUGAAAGUCCCGGAGCUCAACUUCGGAACUGCCUUUGAUACAGCACGUCUUGAGUCCGAUAGAGGUGGGUGGAAUUCCUAGUGUAGAGGUGAAAUUCGUAGAUAUUAGGAAGAACACCGGUGGCGAAGGCGGCCCACUGGAUCGGUACUGACGCUGAGGUGCGAAAGCGUGGGGAGCAAACAGG